CCCUUAGAUGUUCUGGGCCGCACGCGCGCUACACUGUUCGACGCAGCGAGUCUUAACCUUGACCGAAAGGUUUGGGUAAUCUUCAGCAAAGUCGAACGUGAUGGGGAUCGAUCAUUGCAAUUAUUGAUCGUGAACGAGGAAUUCCUAGUAAGUGCAAGUCAUCAGCUUGCGCUGAUUACGUCCCUGCCCUUUGUACACACCGCCCGUCGCUACUACCGAUUGAAUGGUUUAGUGGGAUCUCUGGAUUGACGCUGGCUAGGGGGCGACCCUUGGCCAGACUGUUGAGAAACUGCUCAAACUUGAUCAUUUAGAGGAAGUAAAAGUCGUAACA
rnacentral:rRNA from 1 species